rnacentral:rRNA from 1 species
AGUGAACGCUGGCGGUAGGCCUAACACAUGCAAGUCGAACGGCAGCACAGUAAGAGCUUGCUCUUACGGGUGGCGAGUGGCGGACGGGUGAGGAAUACAUCGGAAUCUACUUUUUCGUGGGGGAUAACGUAGGGAAACUUACGCUAAUACCGCAUACGACCUACGGGUGAAAGCAGUGGAUCUUCGGACCUUGCGCGAUUGAAUGAGCCGAUGUCGGAUUAGCUAGUUGGCGGGGUAAAGGCCCACCAAGGCGACGAUACGUAGCUGGUCUGAGAGGAUGAUCAGCCACACUGGAACUGAGACACGGUCCAGACUCCUACGGGAGGCAGCAGUGGGGAAUAUUGGACAAUGGGCGCAAGCCUGAUCCAGCCAUACCGCGUGGGUGAAGAAGGCCUUCGGGUUGUAAAGCCCUUUUGUUGGGAAAGAAAAGCGGCAGGUUAAUACCCCGCUGUUCUGACGGUACCCAAAGAAUAAGCACCGGCUAACUUCGUG